rnacentral:misc_RNA from 1 species
GGUUUGUUCCAAAGACCUUUGCCCUUUGUGUUCGCGCUUAAUUCGAGUCGAGCUGAGCUGGACGACACGAAGAGAGACGGGAAUUAGGUGAAAUGGCAUCAACAGAAGAUUCUUUCCAAGGAGCUGAUAAUCUGGAUGAUUCCUUAGCAUCACGGAGGUCAAGGAGAUCCCAAUCAAAAGGUAAAAGCGGACGUCUUGCAGCUUUAGAUCAACUAAAACGUAUCAAAAAAGGAGAAAAAAUUAAAUAUGAGGUUGAAGAAGUGAAGAAUGUAUAUGACAUUGUAGAUGAUGAGGAGUAUUCAGACGUUGUGAGGAAGCGACAAGAUGAAGAUUGGAUCAUCGAUGAUAAUGGCGCAGGUUAUGUUGAAGAUGGCCGGGAGAUAUUUGAUGAUGAUUUGCUUGGAGAUGACGAGGAUGGCACUGUGGCGGAGCAAAAGAACAAGAAAAAGAAGUUUACCUCAAAACCAAAUACAAAGAAGGUGAUCAGUGUGAAGCCUGCCAACAACAUCAUGUCAAUGUUUGCCGCAGCCGGAGUAAAGAGCAAGAAAUCUGACAAAGAUGCGAAGAUCGGGACUGAUGACCUCCUAGAUGAGAUAAUGAAUGACUUAGGGCGAUCGCCUGCUGAUAUUGCUGUCAAACCAUUGUCUAUGAAACGCAAAGCUCGUCCAUCAAACCACGGGAACACAACACCCCGAAAUACUACACCUCGAAACCCCUUUAAUAAAACUCCUAAAAAACCGAAUACCCCAUUGAUGCGUCCUCGACAGAUGGCACAAGAAAUUGCACCACCAAGGACAACAAUAAAUAGGAUAAAGGAAAACACCAGCCAGAAACCAGCUAAGAAACCUCGACUAACGGAACCAAUUAUCCAAGUGAAGGAAGAAGUAGAGGACAUAGAAGAUGAAAUUGUUACCGACAAUGACAAUUAUGGAAAUGAAGUAUCUGAUGCUGAUAUGGCUUUACUUGAUGAUGAUGAUGAUGACUUCGCUGAUGUUUUGGAAGAAGAAAUUAAGAUAAAAGAAGAAAAAGAAGUGAAAGUGGAGCCAGUCAUCAAGAAAGAAGAGAAAAAGCCUGAAUACGAUGUUGAAGCUCUGGCAUCUACUGGAUGGGAGACCAUCAAGGGUCAAGUCAACAAUGGUGCCCAGAAAUGUCUAGCCGAUGAAGUGCACAUUGAUUCAUCAAGUUUACCCCUCACAAAGAAUGAGGAAGGGGAGCAGGUACUCCGAUUCUAUUGGUUUGAUAGCUACGAGGACCCUUAUAAGCAACCAGGUGUUGUUUACCUUUUUGGUAAAGUUUGGAUAGAGUCCGCAAAGACGCACAUCAGCUGUUGUGUACCUGUGAAAAACAUAGAGCGACAAGUGUUCCUUUUGCCCAGGGAAACGAAUCAACAAACUAACGAGCCAGUUGGAUUCCGUGACAUUUAUGAAGAAUUCAACAGUAAAAUAGCAGAGAAAUACAAAUUAAUGAAAUUCAAAUGUCGAAAAGUGACAAAGAAGUACUGUUUUGAGCUACAUGAUGUUCCAGCUGAGUCAGAGUAUCUGGAAGUCAGAUAUGCAGCUGAUCUACCGCAACUGCCUUCUGAUCUGACUGGUGACACAUUCAGUGCAGUGUUUGGGACUAACACAUCAUGUUGCGAAACACUUCUGAUGGAGCGUAAAAUCCAUGGUCCUUGUUGGUUGGACAUCAAAAUGCCACAACUUUCCCCCAAACCAGUAUCAUGGUGUAAAGUUGAAGCCUUUGUUACUAGGCCUGAUCAUGUGACUGUUAUCAAGGACCUUACACCACCGCCAUUGGUUGUGAUGACAAUCAGUCUUCGGACAGUGCUGAACACCAAAACACAUCAAAAUGAGGUCAUAGCAAUUGCUGGACUUGUGCACCAUGAAUACCAUAUCCACAAGUCUGCCCCAAACCCUCCAUUUCAGCAACAUUUUUGUGCCAUAGGAAAGCCGAGUGACUGUAUAUUUCCAUUUGACUUUCAAGAUGUUGUAAAGCGAUCAGAUUCCAAAUGUGAACUGAUGGCCACUGAGCGUGCUCUGUUGGGCUACUUCUUAGCUAUGAUACAUCGUAUGGAUCCUGACAUUAUUGUGGGCCAUGAUAUUUUUAGUUUCGAUUUGGAUGUAUUGCUACAUCGCAUCAAUACCUGUAAGGUGCCCCAUUGGUCAAGAAUUGGACGAUUAAGAAGACAGGUGAUGCCCAAGUUGUCCGGUCCUGGUGGAAGAUCUGGUAACUUUGCCGAAAAGAAUGCCACUUGCGGUCGUAUGAUCAGUGACGUCAAGAUAUCGGCCAAGGAGCUCAUCCGGUGCAAGAGCUAUGAGCUGACAGAAUUGGCAAGUUUUGUACUAAAAGAAAGUCGAAUUGAGAUUCCUUUUGAAGAAAUAAAGAACAUGUACAUAUCUUCAAAGCAGUUGAUGUACCUUGUAGAACAAACGUGGGUUGAUGCAUCAUUAAUCCUUCGCAUCAUGUGCGAGUUGAACGUCUUGCCCCUGGCUCUCCAGAUUACGACCAUAUGUGGUAAUGUCAUGUCGAAGACUUUGAUGGGGGGACGGUCUGAAAGGAAUGAGUAUCUAUUGUUGCAUGCCUUCCAUGACAAAGGUUUCAUCUACCCUGAUAAACAGUUCAAGAAAAAAGCACAGCCAGUGCAAGAUAAUGAUGAAGAAAUUUCUCAGCCCAAGAAGGGACGUAAAAAACCUGCUUAUGCUGGAGGUCUUGUACUGGAGCCUAAGAAAGGUUUUUAUGACAAGUUUAUACUGUUGUUGGACUUCAACAGUUUAUACCCAUCAAUCAUACAGGAGUACAACAUAUGCUUCACAACCAUUGACCGUACCCCACCGGCAUCGCAGGCGGAAGAUGAGGACUGGCUUCCAGAAGUACCUGAUCCAAACUUAGAAGCUGGUAUUCUCCCAACGGAAAUUAGGAAACUUGUUGAGCGUCGACGUCAAGUAAAGUCUUUGAUGAAAGACAAGAACAUAAGCAAUGACCUUAGAAUGCAGUAUGAUAUUAGACAAAAAGCCCUCAAGCUCACUGCUAACAGUAUGUACGGCUGUUUAGGUUUCUCUCACUCCAGAUUCUAUGCAAAGCCUCUGGCUGCCAUGGUAACGGGGAAAGGUCGUGAGAUUCUUAUGAAGACCAAAGAACUAGUAGAGAAGAUGAACCUUGAUGUGAUUUAUGGUGAUACUGAUUCCAUUAUGAUCAACACGAAUACAAUUGACUUUGAAGAGGUCUAUAAAAUGGGAAACAAGGUGAAAAGUGAAGUGAACAAAUUGUACAAACUUCUGGAAAUUGACAUCGAUGGAGUAUUUAAGUCCAUGCUCCUACUCAAGAAGAAAAAAUAUGCUGCCCUCGCUGUCCAGAAGUCUGCUGAUGGCACGUACACCACGACCCAGGAAUUGAAAGGUCUGGAUAUUGUGAGGAGAGAUUGGAGUGGACUUGCCAAAGAAGUUGGAAAUUACGUGAUUGGUCAGAUCCUGUCUGCUGAAUCACGGGAGACUAUCGUUGAGAAUAUCCACACACAUCUAAUUGAUGUCGGUGAGAAGGUUAAAAACAACAAGCUGCCUAUGCAUAUGUAUGAGAUACACAAGAGUUUAACCAAAUCCCCGCAAGACUACCCAGACAAGAAAAGCCUCCCACACGUGCAUGUUGCACUAUGGAUGAACACUCAAGGAGGGAAGGAAGUGGGAGCGGGGGAUACUGUGGCAUAUGUUAUAUGUGAGGAUGGUUCAAAUCUACCUGCAAGCCAGCGAGCAUACCAUCCAGACGAAGCCAAGAAGCGGAAUCAUCUAAAGAUCGAUACUAAAUACUACUUGUCACAGCAAGUCCACCCGGUCGUGUCCCGAUUAUGUGACCCCAUCGACGGAACUGACGCUGCCCAUAUCGCUGAGUGUCUUGGCCUGGAUCCUUCAAGUUACAAGCAAGCCUUAAGACAGCAGGAGGCAGACCAUGAUGCAUACCAGAACUUUGAAGCUCAGAUAACUGACGAGGAGAGAUACAAAGAUUGUGAACCGUUCAAGUUUGUGUGCCCCGCAUGUAAAAGGGAAAACAUCAUAGAUGUUGUAAUCACAAGCAUGACAAACCAUAUUGUAUAUCGUUUGGAGGAGUGUUCAAAUGAAGAAUGCAUGACACCACUGUUCAAAUAUGAAGCACAAAUUAAAAAUCAACUACGAAUGAUGGUUCGAAGAUGCGUAACAAAGUAUUAUGAUGGUUGGCUUGUUUGUGAAGAUACUUCGUGCAAUCAUCGUACACGUUGUGUUCCUAUUAACCCUCAGCGCCAUGGCCUCCCUUGCCCAGUGUGUCAACGAGCUCUACUAAAGCCAGAGUACACCAGUAAAGCUUUAUAUACUCAGCUGCGAUAUUUUAAGUUCAUCUUUGAUGCCCAUCGAGCGAUUCAAAGUAAUAAGGACAAAAGUUUGACUAAACCAAUUUUUGAGAGGAAUCUGGAGGCGCGUAGCACAUACGAUAGACUUCUCCAAAUGACCGAAUCUACCAUCCAACAAAGCGGCUACUCGGAAGUUAAUCUUAGCCGGUUGUUUGAAAGCCUAUUCACAAUCAAGGUUUAAUUUCAUGGGUGCUAUAGGAGUUUAUAGAGGAUUUCAGAAGCAAGAGACAUAGUGGGAGGUUGGGACUACAAUUAAAAGUCAAUACAGUAGUAGCAUAGAUAUUUGCAAUUUAAUUUGAUGUGCAUAAUCCAGGGUUGGGGUGCCAGAUGUAGAAUUGGUAUGCAAGGUAGAAGGGGUGUAGUUCAAGAUCCAUGCUUGGUAUGCAAGAUCCAGCUUAAAAUUUGAGCCCAAACUUAUCCACUGUUUUGUUUUGUUUUUGUUUUUUUUGCGAAUAAAACAUUCUGAGCUGUCUGUUCUGUGAUUGGUUGUGAUGUAGUUCAUACCCUCACAUGUUGACCAGCAGUUUGUGUGAAUGCUAUCUUCUGUAUGUAUAUUAAAACUAAGUUUGUGGAAAGUGUGGUAAAUUCACUUCGGCCGUCCGACCCAUUUUUAUGCCCACCCCUGGAGGCUAAUAAAACAUAUGUACAUAUAAUUAGGGGAAUUUUAUGUGGCAUAUUUGUAAGGGUACAGGCUUACAGCCAAAUAGUUGUGGGUUCCGGUCAGUUUCUGAUCACAUUGCUUGUGUCUUUAGCAAGACAGUUUGUCAAUAAUAUGUGUUAUAUAGAGCAACUUAGCUCAGUCGGCUAAUCUGGUGGUAGCCACUGUGUGUGCGCUGAACCGUAGAGAUCUCUAGG